rnacentral:rRNA from 1 species
CUCGUAGGCGGUUUGUCGCGUCUGCCGUGAAAUCCGGAGGCUCAACCUCCGGCCUGCAGUGGGUACGGGCAGACUAGAGUGCGGUAGGGGAGAUUGGAAUUCCUGGUGUAGCGGUGAAUGCGCAGAUAUCAGGAGGAACACCAAUGGCGAAGGCAGAUCUCUGGGCCGUAAUGACGCUGAGGAGCGAAAGCAUGGGGAGCGAACA